ensembl:misc_RNA Metazoa_SRP Metazoan signal recognition particle RNA
GCCAGGUGUAGUGGCAUGCACCUGUAAUCCCAGCUACUCGGGAGGCUGAGGCAGAAGAAUCACUUGAACCUAGGAGAACAGAGGUUGCAGUGAACCAAGACUGUGCCACUGCACUCCAGCCUGGGCAACAGAGUGAGACUCUGUCUCCA